rnacentral:lncRNA from 1 species
UUUUUUUUUUUUUUUUUGUGUGUGUAUAUAUAUAUAUAUAUAUAGUUGAUUUUGUUUUUUUGGGUGUGGAACCCACGGUUCACAAGUUUCUGGACCGACGAUGACACAGACGAUGAUGAAGAAUCAAGACUUUAACGUCUCUGAUGAUGUUAAGUUUCCUGCAAGUUCUUUUCUGAAGAUGAUGUUAAGCAAUGACAGAUAGGCUGCUGGGACAGCUAGCAUCGUGUGAUUUUUUACUCUCAAAACCAUGUAAUGCACUGCUUGUAUGGUAUAUUUAAAUUUUCCUUUUUGAAAUGUUGUAAAAGAUAAGUAAUUGAAGGCUUCCAUUUUUCAAUUUUUUUUAUAUAUAUUUUACUGUGAAAUUGCUGCUAUCUUGCGAGAAGUAACUGGAAAUUGCUGCUAUAUAUUAUAAUACUUGUAUGGUAUGGACUGUGGACAUCACAUGUGAAAUCUCUGUUGCAAACGGGGUGGUGUUGAUAAUGUAUGAAUUUGUCUUGUAAAAGUUUUCAUAAGGAAAAGAGAGAUUCCUUCCUUCUUAAUUUCUUGCCAGCCAUCAGCAGCUGCUGCUUCACUAUUGCCACGAAUAGUAGAGGGGAAACAGCUUAGCACCUUGGCAUUCUCUUCUUUCUCAAAUCUUUGCAUGUUUGAGCUUCCCAUAGUUAUUUGCAAGGGAAAUUCUUUCUGAUUGUAGAAAGGGAUCGAAAUAUUCCAAUGAAGGAGUGAUAUUACUUAAGAAGGGAGACGAGUAACUGACAUAAGUCCACGGCCUGGAUGUGUUGUUUAAGAAUACAACAAAUAUGCUAAAAGGGAAUGUGAUUUUCCUCUAGUUAUAUGUUAGGUUUGUGGAAUAUAUACACACGGUAAAAAUUGUAAAUUUAAAAUUUUUUCGGGAGUCUUAAAUAUCUUGUUGGAUAGAUCUAGAGUUGUUUAGGUUCUAUACAAAGAUUAUUUAAAGAUCAAAUGUUCUUUAUAGCUUUAAAUAAUUGUUUUAAGGUUGAUUUGUCAUAAACCACCAGUCGUCCAAGUGUUUGACCUCUAACAGUAAUCUACAUAAACUACUAAUGAGAAAUCUCCUAAAUCAUUUUAGGAAAGAUCAGAGAUUGAUAUACCUUAGAGUGCUAAUUCUUUUCUUUUAUGUUUUAAGUAUUCAAGUAUUGUACUCUACUCACCUUUUUUAUCAUCCAAAAAAAUAAAAAAGUAUAACUUUCUAUUUAUAAGGAAACCUAAAAACCCUAUAAAAUAGAUUAUUAUCAAUACCCUUAAAUAAUAACAAGUAUAUUAUUUUAGGCUAAUUUUAUAAAUUUAUUCAAUUAAAUCCCUACUUGAUUUUUCUAGGUUUAGAAUUGUAAUUCUUUGUAUAAAUUACACUUUAGUCCUCAAUUUCUAAAACUUAUUUAUAAUCAAGUCACACUUGAUUAAUCACCCCAUUUUAAUUUCUAACCAAUGGUUCUUAUGUGUGUGCCUAUUAGGUUCCCUAAUAAGUUGGCCCAAAUAUAAAUUACAAUCCUAAAUAAAAUUGAAUUAAAUAAAUUAAUUUAUUGUCAAUUCAACAAUUGAUUGAUUUAUAUUUGAAGAUCAAGUACAAUAUUUAACAACCUGCCAUGAUUCCCCAAAUAUUAGAAAAAUCAAAAGUGGUUUGACUUAACAUUUUAGUGGUCAAUUCAAUUACUCAGUGUAAUUAUUAUCCCUUCAUAAAAAAAUAUUAUGAUUUAAAUAUUAUAGCAUGAAGUAUGUUUACUAUGUCAAAUAUGUUUGUUUUUAAUAUCAUAGUCAUUGAUUCUUUGAAUAAGAUUUGAAGUUUUUUACAAAUCUCAUUCCACCUUGUGAAAGGAUUUAUAAUCAAUAUUAUUUAAGAACAAAUAAAACAUUUUUCAUAAUUCAUCAAGGAUGAUGAAUCCUUUCUUGAUUACUUAAAUGUCUUCAUAUAGUUCACGUUAUACCCAAUAUAUGCUCAUUUGUUACCUUUGAUUAGAACAACGUGUAGGAAGAUCAAAACAUAACACUCCCUAUAUAAGAUAACUUAGUGAUCUCAAGUCUAAGGAUCAUUUACACAACCGUCACAUGAGUACAUCCAUAGACAAAGGUGAUUUCUCUAUAAGAAAUUCUCAUUUGAGUCAAUUAAGUAAACAUGUCAUCUGAUAAGUACCUACAAAUUAGUUCUAGGUAUCCCCUAUACCUCAACUUAUGAGAAUAAUUAUUUCCUUUCAUAAAUAAAAGAACAUAAUAUCUAUCAGUCUCAAGUCUAAGGAUCACUAUAUAAGAUAACUUAGUUAUUUCAAUCUAAGAAUCACUUACACAACUGUCACAUGUAUAUCCAUUGACACAUGUGAUUUCUCUAUAAGAAAUUCUCAUGUGAGUCAAUUAAGUGAACAUUUCAUCUGAUAAGCACCUAUAAAUUAGUUAUAGGUAUCCUCUAUACCUCAACUUAUAAGAACAAUUAUUUCCUUUCAUAAAUAAAAGAACAUAAUAUCUAUCAGUCUUAAUAGCUUUAAUUAAUAUCUAGUCUUAAUAGAGUAUUGACUACGAAUAUUUUAAAAACAAUACUCUGAUGCAAUAAGAAUCCUAUAAUUAUAAUAACUUCAUAAUUUCUUUUGCAAAGCAUUUUUGUUCCAAGUACUUUAUCUUUACUCCAGACUCAUUAAUCAAAUAUUUAAUUCAUUAAUCAAAUAUUUGAUGAAUGUUAAAUAUAAAUAAGUCUUUUAUUAAUAAAUUAUAUAUAUUUGCAUGAACAAAAUCAAUGUCAUGUGUAACCAAUCGGUUGACUAUAAGAGAUAUACACUAAUAAAAGACACACUUCACCAUUCACUACAAUAGUUGAUUGACAUCUACGAUCUUGGCUAAAAAAAUUGGUUGCCUUAGAACCAGGGGUGUCUUGGUAUUUUCACAUGAUGCAUUAGUCAUUAUUGAUUUUUUUAGGGUGUUUUCAUCUAUUCAACAUUUUAAUGAACAUUAAAAUAACCAAAAUAUCCCUAAGAGUCAAAAAAAUCAAUUGUUUUGGGUAGAAGUAUUUAGGUAUGUUUUUUUUAAUACACAUUACAAUUACACAUGGACCCUUACAUCCAAGAAAUUUAAUUUAUUGGGGUUAGGGGUAUUAGGAUCUUUUUGUCUUUUUUUUUUUUUGUUAAUUGUUAGUUUGGUUGAGGGUAGUGAUGUAUUUAACAUUCAAAUAAUAUUUUUUAAUUGGGAAAAGCUGAUGGCGCAUAGGAGCUUUUGUGUACUUUGGGUAGCAUGUGGGAAGGUUCUCAGUUGUAAAAAAUGGGCUUUCACUAUAUCAUUUUAUUCCUCAUCAUCUUCUCUUCCAUAAUAAGUGACGUGUGUAGUCUAAAUAUUAUCGAUUUAUUACCAGUGAUGUUUUUUUUUUUCUCCUUCGUUUAUCUCUCCUAUCCCCAAAAACACGCUAUAGUCCUCAUUUUUAUUGGUAUUUAAAAUUCAGUCUUUUUAGUUUUAGUUUUUGUAUUUUUUUUGUUUUUCCUUUUAUUGAAGUUUUAUUUGUUUUCAAUCUAACCCUUAGUUUCUAAUUUGUAUAUAUAAUAUGUCUUGAUUCAUUCCUUCCGCUUUUAAUUUUCUUUUUCUUUUUCCUUUUUGUCAAUGUUUUUAUUGCUUUCAAUUUUAUCCUUCAAAUCAAGUUUAUGAUUUUUUUUUCAAUGAGAAUAAUAAUGAUUUCAAAUUGGCCCCUCUUCUUUUUAUUUCUUAUUGUUUUCCUUAGCUCUUUUGUCAAUGGUUUUAUAAUUUUUAAUUCUAUCCUUCAAAUCAAGUUCAAGGUUUUUAUUUUUCAACAAUAAUAAUAAUAGUUAUUAUUAUAAUAAUAUCCUUCAAAUAAUAAUAAUAAUAAUAAUAAUAAUAAUAGUGGUAGUGGUAGUGGUAGUGGUGGUGGUGGUGGUGGUGGUGGUUUGUUAUAAUGAUAAUAGUGGUGGUGGUGAUAGUAAUAAUGAUAGCAAUAAUAAAAAUUAUGGUUAUGACAUUAGUGAUAAUAGUAGUAAUAAGAAGAAGAAGAGGAGUGAUGACAAUAAAAGUAAUAGCAGUAGUGAUGAUGAUAAUGGUUAUAGUUAUUAAAAUAGUAAUAAUACUAAUGAUAAUGUUAAUGUUAAUGAUUGCUACUGUUAUUAUUAAUAAUGAUAAUACUAGCAAUAAUUGUUGUGAUGAUGAUGAUAAUGAUGAUAGUAGUAGUAGUAGCAGCAGCAGCAGCAGCAGCAGUAAUGAUAGUGAUAAUGAUAACAAUAAUAGUAAUAAUAAUGGUAGUAAUUUUAAUAAUAAUAGAAAUAGUAAUAGUGAUAAUAAUGAUAAUGAUAAUAUUACUUAUUAAUAAUAGUAGUAAUAGUUUUAGAUUGAUAUUUUUUUCAAUCCUUUUAUAUGACUGAAUUUUUUUUUUUUAAUUUUAUCUUUUAAUAUUUAAUUUAUUGGUAAUUGAACUUCAUGAUUUUUCUAAAUUAUAUGUUUCAAAUCUAAUGACUUGGGUCAUAAAUUUAAAAAGUUAACAUAUUUUUUUAAAAAAAAACUUUAUGUUUCUCUUUAUUUUUUUAUCGGGUUGUUGCAAUUACAUAAUCUGAGCUGCAAGUUUGGCAAAAUAUCUCCUAUUGACUUAGUUAUAAUUAACAUCGUUACACAUUUGUCAUGAAUAAUUUUCUAUGUUUUUUUUUAACCCCAUUUCAAUACCUAAAUGUUAUUUUUUGUAUAAAAAAAUAAUUCGGCCUUGCGAGGAGAAACGCUAGUUAUUAACUAUUAUGUUAUUCAAUUCUCAUUUUAGGAUAAAAUAAAAAUUUAGUCCUUAAAGAUUAUGCAAUGUUACAACACUCCAGGCCUUUAUAUGUUUUUUCUUUAAAUUUGUUCAGUGUAUGGUACUCUAUUGCAAGGAAUUUGAAUGCUUGUUUCCAGGAUUCGGACUUGAUGAGGCACAGACAGUUCAGAGCAAUCAGUCUUCCAUAAACAGGAUGGUUCUGGUGAUGGUAUUCCUAGAUGGCCAUGGUUCGUUUUCUUAACUGGGACGAUGGUGUGCCUGGUCUGCAGCUCCCUCUCUCACCUCCUUGCUUGCCAUUCCAAACGUUACAAUCUGUUCUUUUGGCGCCUAGAUUAUGCUGGCAUCUCCCUUGUGAUAGUUUCUUCAUUCCUUGCUCCCAUCUAUUAUACCUUCUAUUGCAACCCCAAUCCACCGUUCUUUUAUCUAACCUCCAUAUUGGUGCAUUUGACAUUGCAGGGCACACCCAUCAGAUUUUUCAUGUGUUUAUUGUUCAAGCAGCACUUUCUCACUCUGCUGCCACACUAGUUAUGAUGAGAUCACCAGCCUGCGCGCAUGUCAUGUAGGCAUUUUGCACUAAGCUAGCUAAUUGUUGACAGCAUGUUUUUUCAUGAAUUUCCUCCCUCAUGUUGCAAGACUUUCAUUGUAUUAUUGUAAAUAAGUAUCUUCAAUUCUAUUCAAAAUAGAGAAUAGUUACCUUACCAGAGAAUAGUGUUUCAAUUCGACUUCGUGAACACAUAAUUACAUGUAUAAGCUUUGCAGCGGGGCAAGUAAUUUCCGUAGCUUUUUACGAAACUAACUUGUGUUGAUCUCCUGCAAGAUUUUAAUGCACUUGUGAGGAAUCCUAUUAUGAUAAUCGGAUGACAUGACAAGACAUAACAUCUAGGGCGAUACUGUAACACAUGCAAGUUACUUGGGACUUCAUUUCUGAAGAACUUUGAUAGUGUCUAUCUAUCAUCCCUAAGAAGAUACAUCCAGGAAAGUAUAAAUCCUCCGAGGUUAUUGUGUUUGAAUUUCACAACCAACAAAGAGAUAUAACACGGAAAUUAGCCAAAAAAAAAUAUAACAAGUGUCAUGAGCUCUCCUCAAAGUAACUGAGAUCGUUCAAUGGUCAUGGUAUGUCUUUCCCAUGCCAGUCUAUCAGACCGAUUCUCUCUCCUCCCUCGCUGCAAUAAAACCAAACGUUAUCAGAAAAUAUACAGAUUCCCGAGACAGAUGAUUAUGUCAGACUCAGCAACAUUGCUCUUCCCCACUCAUUACAGGGGCCUCCAGUUGUUGCUUAUUGCUUCUCUCCUCUCUUUCAUUACAAGCAGAUUUCUUUCCAGUUUCCAACUUUGAAAAGUUCAGGAUAUUUUUCAA